GCCAACGUUCAUAUCACGUUGAAUACACCAGUUCGAUCACUGAAGUUAAGCAACGUUGAGCGUGGAUAGUACUUGGAUGGGUGACCGCUUGGGAACACCACGUAACGUUGGCG
rnacentral:rRNA from 1 species